ACUCCAUUUAACUUAGGUUGAUCUGAUCUCGGCAAGAAG
rnacentral:tRNA from 1 species